rnacentral:lncRNA from 1 species
CUGUGGUAAUGUAGACUUGAAACACAUUAUAGACUUGAAAUGGCUACAUUGGGUAUAUUUGUUUCAGGGUCUGUAUGACAGACUAAGGUGUGCCCAUAGUGAGCUUAUGUUUCAUGUGAACCUCUCUCUGUUGCCUUUAUGUUUUUGCUGCAUACGUAUAUGUGCAAAGAAUGCACCUAAAUGGCUGAUUUGCCCCUGAAAGAUAUUUUCAAGUUAAUUGGAGCUUGUCAAGAUAUACAGUCCCCUGCGCUAGUGAAAGGUUGCCACAAGGUUGUCAAAAGUAGACAAACUCAACAGAACACGCAUACGAGUUGAUCUGCCUGUGUCUGGAGUUCCAUACCAGCAGAAAACACACCAGGAGGAAUACACAAAUCAGAAUCCAGUGCCGCGAAAUCAAGAUCCACAAUGCUGAAGCAGGCAGGACUUAAUUGUCUCUGUUGAUGGUGGUGGCUAUGGCUGAUGAAACCGAGUCCUCACACCCUCACAUUGCAGCUGAACGUUUCUUUGACUCAGGUCGAAGCUCAGCUUCAGGCGGAACGGAGUCGAGAAAGUGUCUUUUCGGAAUCAGAUUAAAGAUAGUAUGCAGCAGAGAGGGUUCGGGUGAUCCUGGCACAGUCUGGCUGGUAUGGCUCAUCAUCAGUUCAGGGCCCUCGCCCCCUCUACACGCAGCCCAGACAGUGAAUGGGACUUCACCCAGGAAACGCUGCCUAGUCGAACCCACCAAUAACUUUCCGGAGAAU